AGGACUAACGCUGGCGGCGUGCCUAACACAUGCAAGUCGAGCGGGGUAGCAAUACCCAGCGGCAGACGGGUGAGUAACGCGUGGUCAACCUUCCGUUGAAUGGGGGAUAACUAGCCGAAAGGUUAGCUAAUACCGCAUACGAUCUUUUGAAGGCAUCUUUAAAAGAUGAAAGGAGCAAUUCGUUCAACGACGGGACCGCGUCCCAUUAGCUAGAUGGUGGGGUAAUGGCCUACCAUGGCAACGAUGGGUAGCUGGUUUGAGAGAGCGACCAGCCACACUGGGACUGAGAAACGGCCCAGACUCCUACGGGAGGCAGCAGUGAGGAAUUUUCCGCAAUGGGCGAAAGCCUGACGGAGCGACGCCGCGUGUGGGAAGAAGGCCUUCGGGUCGUAAACCACUGUCGAAGGGGACGAUAAUGACGGUACCCUUGGAGGAAGCCCGGCUAACUACGCGCCAGCACGCCGC
rnacentral:rRNA from 1 species